AGGAUGAACGCUGGCGGUCUGCUUAACACAUGCAAGUCGAACGGGCGUAGCAAUACGUUAGUGGCGGACGGGUGAGUAACGCGUGAGAAUCUACCUUCAGGACGGAGACAACAGUUGGAAACGACUGCUAACCCCCGAUGUACCGAAAGGGCAAAUAUUUAUAGCCUGAAGAAGAGCUCGCGUCCGAUUAGCUAGUUGGAGAGGUAAAAGCUCACCAAGGCGACGAUCGGUAGCUGGUCUGAGAGGACGAUCAGCCACACUGGGACUGAGACACGGCCCAGACUCCUACGGGAGGCAGCAGUGGGGAAUUUUCCGCAAUGGGCGAAAGCCUGACGGAGCAAGACCGCGUGGGGGAAGAAGGCUCUUGGGUUGUAAACCCCCUUUUCUCUGGGAAGAACACAAUGACGGUACCAGAGGAAUCAGCAUCGGCUAACUCCGUGCCAGCAGCCGC
rnacentral:rRNA from 1 species